rnacentral:rRNA from 1 species
CCUGGCGACUAUAGCGAUUUGGAACCACCUGAUACCAUCUCGAACUCAGAAGUGAAACAUUUCCGCGCCAAUGAUAGUGUGAGGCUUCCUCAUG